rnacentral:rRNA from 1 species
UACGGGGGGAGCAAGCGUUGUUCGGAUUUACUGGGCGUAAAGGGCGCGUAGGCGGUCGUGACAAGUCACUUGUGAAAUCUCCGGGCUUAACUCGGAACGGUCAAGUGAUACUGUCGGACUAGAGUACAGAAGGGGCAACUGGAAUUCUCGGUGUAGAGGUGAAAUUCGUAGAUAUUGGGAAGAACACCGGUGGCGAAGGCGGCGACCUGGUCCUUGACUGACGCUGAGGCGCGAAAGCGUGGGGAGCAAACAGG